rnacentral:rRNA from 1 species
GAUGAACGCUGGCGGCGUGCCUAAUACAUGCAAGUCGAGCGAACAGACGAGGAGCUUGCUCCUCUGACGUUAGCGGCGGACGGGUGAGUAACACGUGGAUAACCUACCUAUAAGACUGGGAUAACUUCGGGAAACCAGAGCUAAUACCGGAUAAUAUAUUGAACCGCAUGGUUCAAUAAUGAAAGACGGUUUUGCUGUCACUUAUAGAUGGAUCCGCGCCGCAUUAGCUAGUUGGUAAGGUAACGGCUUACCAAGACAACGAUGCGUAGCCGACCUGAGAGGGUGAUCGGCCACACUGGAACUGAGACACGGUCCAGACUCCUACGGGAGGCAGCAGUAGGGAAUCUUCCGCAAGGGGAGAAAGCCUGACGGAGCACCGCCGCGUGAGGUAUGAAGGUCUUCGGAUCGUAAAACUCUGUUAUUAGGGAAGAACAAAUGUGUAAGUAACUAUGCACGUCUUGACGGUACCUAAUCAGAAAGCCACGGCUAACUACGUG